UGGGGAAUUUUGGACAAUGGGCGCAAGCCUGAUCCAGCCAUGCCGCGUGCGGGAAGAAGGCCUUCGGGUUGUAAACCGCUUUUGUCAGGGAAGAAACGGCUCUUACUAAUAUUAGGAGCUAAUGACGGUACCUGAAGAAUAAGCACCGGCUAACUACGUGCCAGCAGCCGCGGUAAUACGUAGGGUGCAAGCGUUAAUCGGAAUUACUGGGCGUAAAGCGUGCGCAGGCGGCUUUGCAAGACAGAUGUGAAAUCCCCGGGCUCAACCUGGGAACUGCAUUUGUGACUGCAAGGCUAGAGUACGGUAGAGGGGGAUGGAAUUCCGCGUGUAGCAGUGAAAUGCGUAGAUAUGCGGAGGAACACCGAUGGCGAAGGCAAUCCCCUGGACCUGUACUGACGCUCAUGCACGAAAGCGUGGGGAGCAAACAGGAUUAGAUACCCCAGUAGUCCCUGAGCGGGCUGGCAAGGCGCAU
rnacentral:rRNA from 1 species